rnacentral:tRNA from 1 species
GCCGAAGUGGCGGAAUUGGCAGACGCGCAUGAUUCAGGGUCAUGUGGGAGUAAUCCCGUAGGGGUUCGAAUCCCCUCUUCGGCACAA